GUCCUUAUUCUUGUCGCUACAAAUGGAGUAUAUCUGUUCUCUGCUUAAGUUUCCUCUGCGUUUGCACUUUAUUUUCACUCAGCUUAUGCAUGCAAACCUCUGAGUUUGCAAAUUUUGCAAUUAUUCGCUUCAGUUCUGCAGUUAUUCAAUUCAUAUUCGAAUAUCGAAAUGAACUAUUCGCUUCAGUUUUCAAACCACUAUUCGCACAGGUCUACGAGUUGCUCAUGUGUUCUUAUAGCUGUCGUCACGAACUCUAUUAAAUGUGAUAGCAUUUCUUUAAUGCAGUUUUCGGGCCACGGUGCUCCCGUUGUGUCACACUGCUUGUAGAGGGUUCUUCGUUGCGGUUCAGUAGUGAGAUUUAGCAGAUUGAAAGGUCUUUACGACAAUGAUCCUGAAAAGAUGAUAAGCCAAGCACCUCAUUCCUUUGCAAUGGCUGACAUCACAAUGCUGAUCUUCAAUUCCACAGCUUCUGUUAGCUUGUAGUUUUCGCAGAGUGCUGCCGAUGUGCUAAAUCUCCCUAAUGUGUGCCUCUUUUUCAUUCCGUGUGAGCGCCAUGAAGCAACUGUGGCUACGAGCAGGGCACAGAUGUGCACAGAAGGAGAGAGGACAGUAGGAAGGUGUGGGGACAGGGAGUUGGUGUGCAUCCUGGGCAGACUGCAGGUGGAACUGUGACAACAUUCGUCUGAAAAAUCUACCAGAAAAUCCAUGGAAAACGUUAGGCAGCACAGCCAUUGGCAGGAUUAGAACCACCAUUUCGUAAUCUUCCACACGACCUUGGUUGCCAUCACUGAGCGGUGUUGCCACACGUUGUAGACACUUCACCCACUCAGUGUCUACAGCGCAUCUCACAUGAUGUCGUCCACGUCGUCUGGCAACAUGAACACUGCAGAGUUACAGUGUAGAUGGUGUGCUGCAGACCAUUCGUACAGGUAUAGAGCUCACAGAUGUGCCGCCAUUGCUGCGGGAGAUCCAGACACAAUGGCCGAAAAUGAGAAACAUGAGCGGCACGCAGCCGCUAACACCAGGAAGCAGCAUGCAACAAAGCAUACUGCCAUUACAGUCAUCCAGAUAUUCAGAAGUAUGCAUCAAAGAGCAUAGUGUCUUUAGCAAGGUGAACGAGUUUGCAGACGAAACCAGUGUUUCUGCACAAGGCCCAUGGCAUCCUGUGGUCAGAUUUGUCGUUGGGUCGGACGCACAUGCAGUCAUAGCGGAUGGACCACCCUUCAUCUGCUGCAAUGCUAUUGCAUUUCGUACGAGUUUGACAGUGCACCAGAGAGUACAGCGAUUUCUUGCGAUAUCUUUGUUCAAGUGUGCACAUUGUCCUUGAUGCAAAGUAUGAGAUUAUUGCUUAUAGACAGAACUGUACUUUACUUCUAUGACUAACUGGUCAAAUGACUGCCCUGGCUUCUGAGAGAGGAAAACAAAGGACACAUGCAAUUUUUUAAACAGAACCAUAACAGAAAACUGAGACUGGGGAUGGCAAGAAAGUGCGCAGACAACGUCCAGCAUGUCAACCAACCUUGAAGACCUGGAACUGUCAGAGAACUUUGUUGUGACUGGAAAAGUCGGGGGAUUGUCAGGGAAGUUGCCAAAAUGCAACUGAAGUCUGAGAAAAUUCCAGACAAGUAAUCAUGGCGACACACAGCGAAUUCCAAGCGCUGAUCAGUGCAGUUAAGCAGUCACACACCAGCAACAUUGCCACAAGCAACAGUGCACCUAUACAACAAGCUCACAGAAAAGUCGGGGAGUCUUACUAAAAUUAGUGAAUGCAAUGAACAGAGCCUGAACUUGGGCAACUUGAGAAACUUUGUUGCCCAAGCUCUGGCUCUACUCGUUCUCUACUCUGGCUCUACUCGGGUCUUUGUCGUCAUUAUGAUCCACCAGUUCUCCCGAGUCUACGCCAUCUUGUCUAAUAAGCGACCUUGAACAAAGUAAGACAAGGGUCAUGAAUGAGAAGCAAUACGAGGUCUCCCUGGUGCAGGAAAAGAAAAUGUCCUUUUAAACAGCAAGGAGAAGCAUGUAUUUGCAUUCUGAUUUGAAUUCAAUAAAUGAUUCGUACUCUUCAAUUACUCAACAAAUUAUCUGUUUUAUGAAUGAUCUGUAUCAAAAUGCAGGAGCAAGCACCACAUUCCCUUUUGUCUUGGCCGAGGAAUUUGCUUGAAGUAGUCGGUGAAAACAUGGAAGAGUGAGAAUUUUUGUAUUUUUAUUACGUGUUAGCGAGGUGAAGCAACUGUGAGUAUGAGCGGCGUACAUGUACAGGCCUGCAAAUGGAGAGAGGACAGCAGGGAAGAGGGGGAGACAGGGGGUCUAGUAUGCGUCCUGGGCAGACUUCAGGAGGAACUAUGCCGGCACUCAUCUGGAAAGCCUUCGCAAAACCCAGGGAAAACUUCAGACAGCACAGCCGGUGGUAGGAUUCGAACCAACCACCUCCCAUACCUCAGCACGACCUUUGCUGCCGCCAACAAGCGGACACCUUAGCCCACUCUGCCAUGCCACUGGUAAGAGUAGGAAUUUAAAGGGCACGAUUUGGUAGACACCCUGAGUGUCUCAAACACGAGCGUUGAGGCCCAGAUAGAACUUUGAGACAUUGUCUUUGUGCAUUUUCUUAUUAUCCCUAGUCUGGGGUUUUUCAUCAUGGGCCUUCGCCACCACCUCACUCACUUUUUAAGUUAAAGAGUAAGUUAAAAAGAUGGUUGAAAGAUAAAGCAUGGUUAAAAGUUCUGACCCUUCUUCCUUUAUAAGCAGUCCCAAAAAUGAAACAUCCAUAUUUAUUCUGCCUAUGCUACAGAGUGUUUUCGUUCAUUUGCUACUAUGUACAUGAUCAGCAGCAUUUCUGCCUCACUUAAAACAAUGCAUCCUUUGAGUCUGAGUAGUAUCAUGGUGGACUGAUCUUGUCUUUAAUCAUCUGCUUGAUUUGGUCCUUAGUGGGCAUGGGCUUGAUUAGCCCACGGCGAGAUAGUUGUCGAAUUGUAACAGAUGUUGCACCCAGAGUGACUGCAUACCUUGCAGGUGUAGCCAGCUUGUACAUAGCUGAAGCCGUUGCCAGGUGACCCAGCCCAGAGUUCCGGAGAGGGUCAACGAGGACGUCCGGUAUCCCAAUUGCUUCUAGUAGUGGCACUACAUUAACUCCACUGUAACAUCAAAAUGAAAAGCAUUUUUGAAUGUCACAGGCAAUGCUAUCUGCUGCACGAAAAUGUGUCUGAAUAAAAUCUGUAUUGAAUCAGA